UACAGAGGUCUCAAGCGUUGUUCGGAUUCAUUGGGCGUAAAGGGUGCGUAGGCGGCGCGGUAAGUCGGGUGUGAAAUCUUGGAGCUUAACUCCGAAACUGCAUUCGAUACUGCCGUGCUUGAGGACUGGAGAGGAGACUGGAAUUUACGGUGUAGCGGUGAAAUGCGUAGAUAUCAAGCGGAACACCGGUGGCGAAGGCGGCCUUCUGGACAGUGACUGACGCUGAGACGCGAAAGCGUGGGGAGCAAACAGG
rnacentral:rRNA from 1 species